rnacentral:rRNA from 1 species
UCAUCUCCGGGGGUAGAGCACUGUUUCGGCUAGGGGGCCAUCCCGGCUUACCAACCCGAUGCAAACUGCGAAUACCGGAGAAUGUUAUCACGGGAGACACACGGCGGGUGCUAACGUCCGUCGUGAAGAGGGAAACAACCCAGACCGCCAGCUAAGGUCCCAAAGUCAUGGUUAAGUGGGAAACGAUGUGGGAAGGCCCAGACAGCCAGGAUGUUGGCUUAGAAGCAGCCAUCAUUUAAAGAAAGCGUAAUAGCUCACUGGUCGAGUCGGCCUGCGCGGAAGAUGUAACGGGGCUAAACCAUGCACCGAAGCUGCGGCAGCGACACUAUGUGUUGUUGGGUAGGGGAGCGUUCUGUAAGCCUGCGAAGGUGUGCUGUGAGGCAUGCUGGAGGUAUCAGAAGUGCGAAUGCUGACAUAAGUAACGAUAAAGCGGGUGAAAAGCCCGCUCGCCGGAAGACCAAGGGUUCCUGUCCAACGUUAAUCGGGGCAGGGUGAGUCGACCCCUAAGGCGAGGCCGAAAGGCGUAGUCGAUGGGAAACAGGUUAAUAUUCCUGUACUUGGUGUUACUGCGAAGGGGGGACGGAGAAGGCUAUGUCGGCCGGGCGACGGUUGUCCCGGUUUAAGCGUGUAGGCUGACUUUCCAGGCAAAUCCGGAAGGUUAAGGCUGAGGCGUGAUGACGAGGCACCACGGUGCUGAAGUGACAAAUGCCCUGCUUCCAGGAAAAGCCUCUAAGCAUCAGGUAACAUCAAAUCGUACCCCAAACCGACACAGGUGGUCAGGUAGAGAAUACCAAGGCGCUUGAGAGAACUCGGGUGAAGGAACUAGGCAAAAUGGUGCCGUAACUUCGGGAGAAGGCACGCUGACAUGUAGGUGAAGCCCCUGCGGGUGGAGCUGAAGUCAGUCGAAGAUACCAGCUGGCUGCAACUGUUUAUUAAAAACACAGCACUGUGCAAACACGAAAGUGGACGUAUACGGUGUGACGCCUGCCCGGUGCCGGAAGGUUAAUUGAUGGGGUUAUCGCAAGAGAAGCUCCUGAUCGAAGCCCCGGUAAACGGCGGCCGUAACUAUAACGGUCCUAAGGUAGCGAAAUUCCUUGUCGGGUAAGUUCCGACCUGCACGAAUGGCGUAAUGAUGGCCAGGCUGUCUCCACCCGAGACUCAGUGAAAUUGAACUCGCUGUGAAGAUGCAGUGUACCCGCGGCAAGACGGAAAGACCCCGUGAACCUUUACUACAGCUUGACACUGAACAUUGAGCCUUGAUGUGUAGGAUAGGUGGGAGGCUUUGAAGCGUGGACGCCAGUCUGCGUGGAGCCGACCUUGAAAUACCACCCUUUAAUGUUUGAUGUUCUAACCUGGCGCCGUGAUCCGGCGUGGGGACAGUGUCUGGUGGGUAGUUUGACUGGGGCGGUCUCCUCCCAAAGUGUAACGGAGGAGCACGAAGGUCAGCUAAUCCUGGUCGGACAUCAGGAGGUUAGUGCAAUGGCAUAAGCUGGCUUGACUGCGAGAGUGACGGCUCGAGCAGGUGCGAAAGCAGGUCAUAGUGAUCCGGUGGUUCUGUAUGGAAGGGCCAUCGCUCAACGGAUAAAAGGUACUCCGGGGAUAACAGGCUGAUACCGCCCAAGAGUUCAUAUCGACGGCGGUGUUUGGCACCUCGAUGUCGGCUCAUCACAUCCUGGGGCUGAAGUAGGUCCCAAGGGUAUGGCUGUUCGCCAUUUAAAGUGGUACGCGAGCUGGGUUUAGAACGUCGUGAGACAGUUCGGUCCCUAUCUGCCGUGGGCGCUGGAGAAUUGAGGGGGGCUGCUCCCAGUACGAGAGGACCGGAGUGGACGCAUCACUGGUGUUCGGGUUGUCAUGCCAAUGGCACUGCCCGGUAGCUAAAUGCGGAAGAGAUAAGUGCUGAAAGCAUCUAAGCACGAAACUUGCCCCGAGAUGAGUUCUCCCUGAGACUGUAAGUCUCCUGAAGGAACGUUGAAGACGACGACGUUGAUAGGCCGGGUGUGUAAGCGCAGCGAUGCGUUGAGCUAACCGGUACUAAUGAACCGUGAGG